GUCUACAGCCAUACUACCCUGAAAACACCCAGUCUCAGCAGGGUUGGGCCCGGUUAGUACUUGGAUGUGGGACUAACUGGGAACGGGUGCCGUAGGCG
rnacentral:rRNA from 1 species